CCCACACCCAUGUGUGUAGGACCCCAAAGGAUCACCAUUUAAUUUGGCACAGAUCUCUAGAAAAGUUAUCAUAUGGGUGUGGGACGUGACUUUUCUUGAAAUCUAUGCCAAAUUUAAUGGUGAUCCUUUGGGGUCCCAUACACAUGAGUGUGGG
rnacentral:pre_miRNA from 1 species